UUUUCAUUGCAUAAUGUAUCACUGCAGAACUUAAGAGACUAAAAAUAAUCCUCUCUUGAUCUCUAAAGUCUGUAGAAUGUCUGUUUUUUGUUGUUCUUUUUUAAAAAAUCUCUUUUUGCUUUGAGAUUUCUCAUGUCUCUUCAAUCAGCUAUAAAUUUGUCUGAGAGUUGGGUGACCUUGGAUGAUUUCUUCAUAUCUGCAGAGACUGGAUACUAAGCUGAAAAGAAACUGUGAAUCUGUGAUAUCAAUACAUUUUCUUUAUUUUUACUAGGUUCAAAUAUUUCUGCUCAAUGACUGUGCUGCUAUGAUAAAGGACAUGGUUUCUUUGAAUAACAAUAACAGCUGACCAUCUUUCUGCUUUUCCUCUUGGACUACUCUGGCUGGGUUUGGGGUUCUAUUCAGUACUUGCUUUGCUGUGUAUCUGUCUUUGAUUUCCUCAUACCUGUACGUGACAUAAAUCAAGAUGUGGUACCAUGUGGGGCAUACAUGGGCUGCAAAGAGGGUGCCGAAAGAAAUUCAGAUAAAUAGAGCUUAAACUUUAAGCUGUUUACUCAGAGAAUGGAUACAAAUGGUACCAGAGGAAGUUAGUUUAAGCUGUUAGUGCAGAGAAUAGAUACAAAGGAUGGCUAAGAGGAAGUUAGCUUGGGUUGUUUGUAUGGAGAUUAAAGACAAAUGGUGAGAAAGGAAGUUAGCUCAAGUUAUUUAUGCUAAGAUAAGAUACUAAAAACAGGAGAUGAUGUCAAGACAUAAACAACUUGUAAAUAGGGUGACCUUUAAAAUGAUUGGUUGGUUCCUUCAACCCCUCCUAGGGAUCUGAGGGUUUCUGGUAUAAAAGAGGCUUACUACCUAUCAAUAAAGGAGUUCUUGCUUGACUUGA